rnacentral:lncRNA from 1 species
AGGUGCAAAGUGAAACAUAUCAUUCAUCAUUGAUAACCCUGAUUGCUGAUAAUGAGAAUAGGAACUGGGAAUAUCAAGUUGAUAAGAGUAGACUAGGAACUUCAGUGCAAAGCUAUCACUACAAAACUCCAAAUGAUAAGAACUACCUUUCGAUUGUGUUUGUGUCCUUGUAGGUUCGGGCUCAGGAGUAGGAGGUAGAUGUCUUCAGUGAGGAUGGGAGCGACUGUAUACACUUUGAUGAUGUCCCC